CAGCGCCACGAGUGGGGACCGGUAUUAUUGGGCCUAAAGCAUCCGUAGCCGGGUUGGUAAAUUCUUUGUGAAAUUGUUGGGCUUAACCUAACAGCGUGCAGAGAAGACUGCUAAUCUUGAGACCGGGAGGAGUUAGAAGUAUGCAUGGGGUAGCGGUAAAAUGCAGUAAUCCCUUGUAGACUACCUGUGGCGAAGGCGUCUAACUAGAACGGGUCUGACGGUGAGGGAUGAAAGCUGGGGGAGCGAUCCGGAUUAGAUACCCCAGUAGUCC
rnacentral:rRNA from 1 species